rnacentral:rRNA from 1 species
UACGUAGGGUGCGAGCGUUAAUCGGAAUUACUGGGCGUAAAGCGUGCGCAGGCGGUUCGUUGUGUCGGUGGUGAAACCCCCGGGCUUAACCUGGGAAUGGCCAUGGAAACUGGCGAACUGGAGUGUGGCAGAGGGGGGUGGAAUUCCGCGUGUAGCAGUGAAAUGCGUAGAGAUGCGGAGGAACACCGAUGGCGAAGGCAGCCCCCUGGGCUAGCACUGACGCUCAGGCACGAAAGCGUGGGGAGCAAACAGG